GACACACGAAUGCAGUUUCGGUGGGAAUUUGCCAGCAUUGAAAUUCCUAGCAGAAAAUCUUGUGUCAAGUGGUAUCACUCAUCAUGAAGUCCGUUGUUCUCCUGUACUGCAUGGCAGCUGCUUGUUCAGCAACAUUUCUGCUCAACAACAAGUCACCGGACGCCUACAACAUUUGCGUAUAUUCCCAAAACCCUGGAAGAUUCGCUCCCAAGUGCUUCGCCUGCCUGAAGAUAGUGUAUCCAAACGCUUUAUUGGCUUGUGUCAAUGCAUCAGCAAUGCCCAGUAACAUCUCGUACGAUGCAGCAGGCUGUCUUGACAUGAACUGUAAAAUCAACUACCCGACAGCCCCUACGACUAGCAUCGAGUCCAAACUGUCACUCCUGCAACAGGUUCAAAAAUAUUUCAACAUCAGAAGUGCUAGGAGUGUGGAUAACAACGCUGUGGAUAACGACGACAGCCAAUCUUCACAGAAUGUGACGAGGAUUAUGGGACCUUCCGAUUUGAAAAUAAUAAGCGAAUUAGAAGUCUACGCGUCAGACAUGGACUACGAGGAGGAUGAGACGGACUAUGCAGAUUAAUGAUUAAUUUUAGAUUCUGCUUGAAAUUUAGAUCGUUGUGCAAAUAGGUAGUAAAUCAAUCAUACAGAAGCAUUGUUGAAAGGAGUUCUUCCGUAAGAAGGAGCAGUGCAUGGUACUUUUCCGUUAGUCACUUGGCGCAUUUUAAAUAUUGGCGAUUAUUUUUUAUUUUAUUCAUUGCCAACCUGUUUGGGCAAAAUUAUACAGAAACAACUUGUUUGGAGGCAGCACACACGUUAGUUUGUCUUUUUUAUGAAGUUUUGAACAAAAUAAAAAGGCGGUGAGCAAUAAGUCAAUGAGCAAAAAAAAAAAAAAAAAAAAUCUUUCUAAUUGAGUUGCGCAUUAAUGGGUCCAACCAUUCGCAGACCUAGUGCCUCACCCCGAUAUGGCAUCCACUAUUUCACGUGGCACCAUCUAUUGGCGGAAUGCCAUUAUCACGAGAAUUUGAAGUUCAGUUUCCCCAAUAGAUGGAAGCACCUGUGCUCUUAUCGAUGCGAAACUUAACUAGGGAUUUAAUUUUGCCGAAGGCAUUUCAAAGAUGAGUAAAAACAGUCCACCAAAUAAUUAAAUUUAACAAUUAAAAGGUAACGUAGGCGACCGAAUAAAAAAGAUAGCCAUUAAAUAACGUGAAAAUUUCGAAUGAAAUACUCCGCCUACUAAAUAAACAAAGCUAACAACUUAAAAGCUCCAUUAAAAUGCAUAUCAUUCCGCCAAAUAACUAUAUCGAGUCAUUAAGAAACGUUACAAGUUCUAUUCAAAUGGAAAGUAAGAAAAAGAAGAGCAAACAUGGCGGUGACAUAAGCUUUACUUUUCGCCAAAGUUGAAGGUAAACAAGUCACCAAUACAACCUAUAACGGUAAAGUAUCCUGUACAACGUGGGGUUAGAUUCAUGAGUAAGGGGCAUAGAAAAAUUGGCAAUUUUCAAAAAAGAAAAAGAAUCAUGACUAGGUUCUAUAUCGAUUUUCUUUCACCAUUAUUAUUUCGUAAAAUAACUCAUUUUUAUAAAAACUAAAUAAUAAAUAAGAAUUCUAAUAAAAGCUUGAUUUAUUUAUUCAUUUAUUCUUUUGUCAGAUAAAAAGAGUAGCUUUUCAUUUCACGUCGAUUUAAAUUUAAAGAUUGGUAAAUUAUUCUAGUGGCUAGUUGAAGUCGAAGCAAAUUUAUCAGUCUCCAUUCCUUUUUUCUAGUCAACACUUUGUUUUAUUUUUUGCAAAUCAUGAAAACAACUUUCCAAAAUAUUAUCACUAUUAUUUGUGACAAAUUUUAAUUCAUUUUGUCGUCAAAGCAAAACAACUAAAGAAUCAAUAUGGUAUAGAUAAGAUUUUACUGUUUAUCAAAAGCACUUUUUUUUUUCCUUUUAUGCUAACUUCGAUGAUUGUUGCUUACUUCAAAAUAUUUUUUUCCUAUGUUUUUUAAAGGCCCUUCAUUUUAUGAACUACGCUUUUAAACUUAUGCUGCUUUAAAACUUGAAGUAAGAGACUAAAACUAAGAUCAUUUUUGGAAUCAGAGGUCACAACUUCGUCAAAAACAAGUUUAAGGCAACUAAAUCUCUGCUUUUCAGCGUUAUAGAUACUUAAGAAAAUAAAAGCAGAUUCAUAAGCAACGUCUUCGGAUUUGGGAUGGAGAGCACAGCUGCUAACCUUUCAUUAAAUCGUUUUUUUUUUUAAAUUUUUUUUUUAAAUUUCGAUCAGCACUGUAAAAAAAAUCUGAAACGUUGCUGAGUAUUUCCAUGCAACGUUUCAGGAUUUUAAUGGUUUUUAUCCACUUCCAGGAAAUAUCAAGUAUCAUUGUCAAAAAGUUUCCCGAAUUUCUACAAGUUGUCCGAAUGCAGACUUUUCUCUGUUGCAAAAAAUAUUUUUAACUCCCAGUUUGAAGAUUAACUGAACGUAUUAAUAAAGUGUAUUGGCUUCAUUUCGAUUACGGCUUGUCCAUGCUGAUUAAACUCUCAAAGAGAGCGAAUAAGUAUAAACUACUUAGCUUUGCAAGAAUUGCAAUCAUGUGAGAUGCUUGACACAUACUUGCAAGUCUGGCUUUGCUUUGGCCAUGGUUGCAAGGCUGCUUUUGAAACAAUCUUGGUAAACCAGGAAGAUACUAAGCUGUUAUGUUAUCUCUACCUAAUAUUACUCUGAUGUUACAGAGACACGACUGACUUUAAACGAGAAGAUCUCUAAAUUUUUCAGGAACGUUGCUGAAUUUUAGCGUAAAAUGUUCCUGGUUGUUACGAGAUAUGUUACUGAUAGAAAUUGGACACAUCAGCUGCCUAUUAUUUUCCAGGAACGUUUCUGAAUCGUUUUUACAGUGAGGGUAUUUUAAGAGCAACAACUAUGAGACUAAUUUAUUUUGAAUUUUUCUUAACUUCGAAUAAAAAAAGAUUGCAAUCAAUCGUGCCACAAGGAAUUACUGCGAAGUUUAAGAUUUUUUCCCCCUUAACAGCGCUUCCAGUCUUUACGUUGCCUCAUCUAACCGACGAUUUUUUCAUGAUAAGGUAGAUAUUUAAUGAGUUUUUUUUAAAUUAAAAAAAGAUAAUGCUGCAAUUUGUGCAUCAAAAUUAAGAAAUUGCAAUGUUAGUAUAACUAAAAAUGUUAUUCAACAAAUUAACAUUUUGACAAAAUGCAAAUUCAAAAUAUUUGGUCCCUUAUUUAUGAAUGUGUAACUGUGAAUAUGUAUUAUAAAAUUCAUAUCGCAUGAAUACUAAAGUCUGUUUUUUUUAUAGAUUCAUGUUCAUUAUUAAAGUAUUUUUGAGACAAUUUUAAA